ACCUAGACAAAAAAAGAAAAUAGAUUUCUGUUCUGUCCUAGCCCCAAAGCAUGUAAAGGUGAACCCACUGGGAUUGGCUGGGGAGAAGAGGAAAACUUGUUCCAGAGGAACAGUCUGAGGGAU
rnacentral:snoRNA from 1 species